rnacentral:rRNA from 1 species
UACAGAGGUCUCAAGCGUUGUUCGGAUUCAUUGGGCGUAAAGGGUGCGUAGGCGGCGCGGUAAGUCGGGUGUGAAAUCUCGGAGCUUAACUCCGAAACUGCAUUCGAUACUGCCGUGCUUUGAGGACUGGAGAGGAGACUGGAAUUUACGGUGUAGCGGUGAAAUGCGUAGAUAUCGUAAGGAAGACCAGUGGCGAAGGCGGGUCUCUGGACAGUUCCUGACGCUGAGGCACGAAGGCCAGGGGAGCAAACAGG